rnacentral:ncRNA from 1 species
GGAUAAACGCUGAAGGCAUCUAAGCGUGAAGCCCCCUUCAAGAUGAGAUAUCCCAUUCAUAAAGAAGUAAGACCCCUUGAAGACGACGAGGUGGAUAGGGCAGAGGUGGAGGUGCAGCAAUGUAUGGAGUUGACUGCUACUAAUCGGUCGA